AUUGAACGCUGGCGGCAUGCUUUACACAUGCAAGUCGAACGGCAGCGCGGGCUUCGGCCUGGCGGCGAGUGGCGAACGGGUGAGUAAUACAUCGGAACGUGCCCAGUAGUGGGGGAUAGCUCGGCGAAAGCCGGAUUAAUACCGCAUACGACCUGAGGGUGAAAGCGGGGGAUCUUCGGACCUCGCGCUAUUGGAGCGGCCGAUGGCAGAUUAGCUAGUUGGUGGGGUAAAGGCCUAACAAGGCGACGAUCUGUAGCUGGUCUGAGAGGACGACCAGCCACAAUGGGACUGAGAAACGGCCCAGACUCCUAAGGGAGGCAGCAGUGGGGAAUUUUGGACAAUGGGCGAAAGCCUGAUCCAGCAAUGCCGCGUGUGUGAUGAAGGCCUUCGGGUUGUAAAGCACUUUUGGCGGGAACGAAAAGGACUGUGCCAAUACCACGGUUCGAUGACGGUACCCGAAGAAUAAGCACCGGCUAACUACGUG
rnacentral:rRNA from 1 species